rnacentral:rRNA from 1 species
UAAUUCGAUGCUACACGAAGAACCUUACCUGGGCUUGACAUGCACGUGGUAGGGAACCGAAAGGGGACCGACCUUCAGGAGCGUGCACAGGUGCUGCAUGGCUGUCGUCAGCUCGUGCCGUGAGGUGUCGGGUUAAGUCUCGUAACGAGCGCAACCCUUGCCCUUAGUUAUACGUGUCUAAGGGGACUGCCCGGGAUAACCGGGAGGAAGGUGGGGAUGACGUCAAGUCAGCAUGGCCUUUAUGUCCAGGGCUACACACACGCUACAAUGGCCGGUACAAUGGGUCGCGAAGCCGUGAGGCGGAGCCAAUCCUGAAAGCCGGUCUCAGUUCGGAUUGUAGGCUGCAACUCGCCUACAUGAAGUUGGAGUUGCUAGUAACCGCAGGUCAGCUAUACUGCGGUGAAUACGUUCCCGGGCCUUGUACACACCGCCCGUCACGUCAUGGGAGCUGGCAACACCUGAAGCCGGUGAGCUAACCCGAAAGGGGGGCAGCCGUAUAAGGUGGGGCUGGUGACUGGGACGAAGUCGUAACAAGGUAACCAAGGGCGAA